AGUGAGGAAUAUUGCGCAAUGGAGGAAACUCUGACGCAGCAACGCCGCGUGGGGGAUGAAGCACUAUGGUGUGUAAACCCCUGUAGACAGGGAAGAAUGGUAUGGGUUCGCAAGGGCUUGUGCGUGACGGUACCUGUAAAGUAAGCACCGGCUAACUCCGUGCCAGCAGCCGCGGUAAUACGGGGGGUGCAAGCGUUGUCCGGAAUUACUGGGCGUAGAGGGCGUGUAGGCGGCCCGAUAAGUCAGAUGUGAAAGCCCGUGGCUUAACCACGGAACUGCAUUUGAAACUGUCGGACUUGAGUGUGAGAUGGGGUAGUGGAAUUCCCAGUGUAGCGGUGAAAUGCGUAGAUAUUGGGAAGAACACCAGUAGCGAAGGCGGCUACCUGGCUCACAACUGACGCUGAUGCGCGAAAGCGUGGGGAGCGAACAGGAUUAGAUACCCUGGUAGUCCACGCCGUAAACGAUGGAUACUAGAUGUUGGGCCCUUUUUUGGGCUCGGUGUCGGAGCUAACGCAUUAAGUAUCCCGCCUGGGGAGUACGAUCGCAAGGUUGAAACUCAAAGGAAUUGACGGGGGCCCGCACAAGCGGUGGAGCAUGUGGUUUAAUUCGAUGCAACGCGAAGAACCUUACCGGGGUUUGACAUUCCGAUGACGCAGGUAGAGAUAUCUGUUUCUUUCGGGACAUCGGAACGGGUGCUGCAUGGUUGUCGUCAGCUCGUGUCGUGAGAUGUUGGGUUAAGUCCCGCAACGAGCGCAACCCUUGUCCAUAGUUGCCAGCACAUAAUGGUGGGGACUCUAUGGAGACUGCCGGUGAUAAACUGGAGGAAGGUGGGGAUGACGUCAAAUCAUCAUGGCCCUUACAUCCCGGGCUACACACGUGCUACAAUGGUCGGUACAACGAGUCGCAAUGCCGCGAGGUGGAGCCAAUCUCUAAAAACCGAUCUCAGUUCGGAUUGCAGUCUGCAACUCGACUGCAUGAAGUCGGAAUCGCUAGUAAUCGCGGAUCAGCAUGCCGCGGUGAAUACGUUCCCGGGCCUUGUACACACCGCCCGUCACGCCAUGGGAGUUGGCAGUGCCCGAAGCCGGUGCCUGAAUCCUUUUAGGAGCAGAACCGUCGAAGGUAAGGCCGAUGACUGGGGCG
rnacentral:rRNA from 1 species